rnacentral:rRNA from 1 species
CCUACGGGUGGCAGCAGUGAGGAAUAUUGGUCAAUGGUCGCGAGACUGAACCAGCCAAGUCGCGUGAGGGAGGACUGUACUGAGGAUUGUAAACUUCUUUUAUCAAGGAAUAAAGUGAGGCACGUGUGCCUUUUUGUGUGUACUUGAUGAAUAAGCAUCGGCUAACUCCGUGCCAGCAGCCGCGGUAAUACGGAGGAUCCGAGCGUUAUCCGGAUUUAUUGGGUUUAAAGGGAGCGUAGGUGGGUUGUUAAGUCAGUUGUGAAAGUUUGGGGCUCAACCGUAAAAGUGCAAUUGAUACUGGCAGUCUUGAGUUCAGGUGAGGUAGGCGGAAUGCGUGGUGUAGCGGUGAAAUGCUUAGAUAUCACGAAGAACUCCGAUUGCGAAGGCAGCUUACUAA